CGGGUGGUAAAUUCCAUCUAAGGCUAAAUAACGGCAAGAGACCGAUAGCGAACAAGUACCGUGAGGGAAAGAUGAAAAGAACUUUGAAAAGAGAGUUAAACAGUACGUGAAAUUGUUGAAAGGGAAACGAUUGAGGCCAGUCGUGCUGGCGAAAAAUCAAGCAAAAAUGACUGUCCAAUGGGUGGUUAGUUUUGGUGCACUUUUUCGUUGGCUGGUUAGCAUCAGUUUUGUUUGUUGUAAAAUGGGAGUUGGAAUGUGACUCUUUCGAGAGUGUUAUAGGCAAUUUCAGAUGCAACGAAUGGGAUUGAGGUUUGCGGCAAAUGCCUUUUGGGUACAUACCUGCUCUCUGAACGGCAUCGAUUUGGGCGACAGCUUGCUGACGUUCAUGUUUGUGUCCUCAACAGAAUAGAAUGUGUUAAAUUUGCCAAGGAUGCUGACAUAAUGGUCUUAAACGACCCGUCUUGAAACACGGACCAAGGAGUCUAACAUACGUGCGAGUGUUUGGGUGGCAAACCCAUGUGCGAAAUGAAAGUGAUAUUGGUGAGAACCCUUGUAAGAGGGAGCAUCAUCGACC
rnacentral:rRNA from 1 species